ensembl:snRNA U6 U6 spliceosomal RNA
UUGCUUUGGUAGCACAUACACUAAAACUGGAACAAUAAAGACGUGAAUAUGUCCCCUGUGCAAGGAUGACAUGCAAAUUUGUGAAAUGUCUCACUUUUUU